GUUCUUUGGGCCCGACUGCACACAGUGUCCUGGGGGCUUUUCCAACCCCUGCUACGGCAAAGGCAACUGCAGCGAUGGGGUUCAGGGGAAUGGAGCCUGCCUCUGCUUUCCAGACUACAAGGGGAUCGCCUGCCAUAUUUGUUCCAACCCAAACAAGCAUGGUGAACAGUGCCAGGAGGACUGUGGUUGUGUCCAUGGCCUGUGUGACAACCGUCCUGGCAGUGGAGGGGUGUGCCAGCAGGGUACAUGUGCCCCUGGCUUCCAAGGCCGCUUCUGCAAUGAGUCCAUGGGAAACUGUGGAUCCCUAGGGCUGGCCCAGCCCUGCCACCCAGACGCUCACUGUGUUAUUCAGGAGGGCGUCGCCAGGUGUGUCUGCCACGAUGG
rnacentral:lncRNA from 1 species